rnacentral:rRNA from 1 species
GACGUAGGGCGCGAGCGUUGUCCGGAUUUAUUGGGCGUAAAGAGCUCGUAGGCGGCUUGUCGCGUCGUCCGUGAAAACCCGAGGCUCAACCUCGGGCCUGCAGUCGAUACGGGCAAACUAGAGUACUGCAGGGGAGACUGGAAUUCCUGGGUGAUAGCGGUGAAAUGCGCAGAUAUCAGGAGGAACACCGGUGGCGGAAGGCGCCACCUCGUGGGCCGAAACUGACG